rnacentral:misc_RNA from 1 species
UCCUCGUUUAAGCGAGGCAGUCUGUCCAGAGUGCUCCCUACUCUCGUAGGGGUGGCAACAGGACACAAGGGUUGCGCUCGUUGCGGGACUUAACCCAACAUCUCACGACACGAGCUGACGACAGCCAUGCAGCACCUGUGCAUGCUCCCCUUGCGGGGUCGUCCCACUUUCAUGGUUCUACCACAUGCAUGUCAAGGCCAGGUAAGGUUCUUCGCGUUGCAUCGAAUUAAACCACACGCUCCGCCGCUUGUGCGGGCCCCCGUCGUUAGUUACACCUCUCUAACGAGACCGCUGGGAUAAACCCAGAGGAAGGUGGGGAUGACGUACUCUACG